AGUACAAGAUCUUAGCACUUUAUAAUCCAUAAAGUUACUCUAGGCAUUACAAUUUCAUAUUCUGCUCUGUAUUUAUAACAUACCAUUUAUUAUCCUUUGAAUGACACUAGGAGUUUGAUUAACUGCAGACUGGUCCAAUAUUUAGAUUUUUCUAAAAGAUAACUGU